AAUAUUUUCGGAUUUUUUUUAGAACUAAGAAUCCUGUCAGGAAACACUCCCAUUAUUUCAUACUCAAUCCCUCUAGGACGUUGAGAGCUAUGACCCAAUCCUGAACCCUGUCCUAUCCUAGACGACAACAGAUAUCCCCAAUUCUAAUUAUACAUGUAGUAACUUCUAAUUAUAGUAACAACACAUCUAAAUAUAGUAACAACUAUUACAUGAUGUAAUCUUUGUUGUGUCUAUUUUUAGAAUCAUUACUGAGCUUGAGACUCUUAAGGAAGAGGCUUCAGAAGUUCAGAGGAAGAUGGAGGAGACUGAUACUGUUAUGGCUGAAGUUGACAGAGUCUCCCAGCAAUACCUGCCUCUCUCCACCUCCUGCUCUGCCAUGUACUUCACUCUGGAGUCACUCAAUCAGGCUGUACAAGCAGGAAACAGAAAGAAAGCCUCAAGGUAUGGCAGCUGAACUAGAGAAAUUAGGUGUAACACCAGAGACUCCUCAGGAUAACCUGGUCUGGUCUAAUGAGCAGCUAAGAGUUGAUGGAGGACGAAGACAAUCAACUCAAACAAGUUACCCUCAUAAUUUUGUUAUGAGACACACUGACAGCAUCACAUGAACCAUCAAUUGAAUCAUGCAGUCAGUAUGUACUAAUAACAUGCCCAUUUGGAAUUAUUAUUUUUGAAAUUUUGG